GUAUACUACAUAAACACGUUAAUUCCCUUUUGUUUUAAGUUAAAUAUUUACAUAAGCUUCACAAAGUAGAGUCCUAAACUAAUGAUCUUCCUGGAUGUUUGAUGGACCUGUUACAUAAAUAAACAUAUCAUUAUGUUGAUAAAGAAUAUAUGUAUGCUCAUGUAAUGAAUACGAAUGAAGUAUUAACUUUCUAUCGAAUCCAUGAGAAUUCUAACAAAGAACUUAUAUUUUGCUUGUAAAUCUUCUAAACCCAAUUAACACUCAUUUGUAUAUUCUUAAUUGAAUAAUCUUAUUUACUUGCAUAAACUGGGUGACCUUGCAAGGUUUAAUCCUGUAAUUCAUUUCCCGGCAAUCCUAUCACGGAUGCCAUUAGCCGAAGCUAAUCUUGUAAUUCAUAUCCCGGCAAUCCUAUCACGGAUGCCAUUAGCCGAAGUUAAUCGUGUAAAUCAUAUCUCGAAGCUAAUCGUGUAAAUCAUAUCUCGAAGCUAAUCAUGUAAAUUAUAUCCCGGCAAUCCUAUCACGAAUGCCAUUAGCCGAAGCUAAUCGUGUAAAUCAUUUCCCAGCAAUCCUAUCAUGGAUGCCAUUAGCCAAAGCUAAUCUUGUAAAUACACUAGGCUUUAUUUACAUUGAACAUAAUAUUUAUUAUAAUUGCAUUCACCAAAAGAAUUCUAAAUUGUAUAAGUGCAAAUAGGAGGGAAAAUCACGCACCUGCUUCGCUUUUCUCGCGACCUCCCCUAACAGAAGAUCCAAUCUUGGUUGCUCCUCCUGAAUCACAAGGAAGUUUUUUUUUUUUUUUGUUAUGAUUCCUUCAAGCCGAUAUUAUAGAGAAUUCAUAUUCAUCCAUUACUCAUAUGUUACUUUCUAUGCAUGUUCAUUUCCUUAUAAUAACAUACAUACAUAUAUCAUGUAUAUUUUCAGAGUUAGUAUCUCAAUAUACAAGUGUUCGUAUGACUCAAUUCUUUUAUAUUCUUAUUUAUAGUAUUCACGUGAAAGUCUAUUGUUACUGUCUAACUUUGAACUGUUACUGUCCAAUUUCCAACUGUUACUGUCUGACUUUGAACUGUUACUGUUUGACUUUUCCAACUGUUACUGUCUGACUUUGAACUGUUUACUGUUUGACUUUUCCAACUUUUACUGUCUGACUUUGAACUGUUACUGUUUGCUUUUCCAACUGUUACUCUAAAUACUCAUCAGAUUUUUAACUAUAUCUAAAGUUCUAAAACUCCAUUUUAAGUGAGAUUGAUCUCGUUAGAAAGCUAAGGCACGAGGCUACUAGUUCUCUGAGGGAGGAGAACCCAGUUUUGCCUCAAAGAUAGUCAAAAUUAUUCAUUUACUAAUUAGUCCUACUGCCCUACAUAAUCAGUCACAACUCAGUCUCAGUUGGUAACCCAUAAUUGGAGUUCUGCAUCUCCAAAUUGAGCAAGACCAGUUUCCUUGGUUAGCUAACAUUCAAAUCUAUAAUUUCUAUGAGGAACCCGAUCCUAAUCCCCUUAUCCUUCUACCCGAAAUCUCAUCGAAAGUUAGGAAACAAGUCUGUCCAGAUUCGUCUCCCCCUCCCCUUCACACAAUACUUUCAUAAACUACAUACCACACACAUGAAUUAACUUAAUCUCAACAACAAGUACUUUUUCCCCAAUUUAUGUCUAAGAACCCUAACUUAUGAUUCAAUAUCAAGGCAUCAAUUCUUUAUCGAAUUUAAAAAUGAAUUUUUUUAAGAUCAUGUUUAGAAUACCUUACCCGGUACAAAUUAAGAUUUUGAUCUUCAACCAGUUGAAGAUUUUCAACUCCCUCUUUUCUUUUCUUCUUGUUCAAUUUCCCUCAUUUAUUUUCUUCUUGUUCAAUUUCUUGGUAAUCCUUUGCUCUCAAGUGUUUAUCUCAUCUAUAAGCUCUUAAUCUUGGAUGGAUUCUUGAAAUUUUAGUGUUUCUCUCUUGAUUUCUCAAGAAUGGGUAUAAAACUCCCUAUC
rnacentral:lncRNA from 1 species